GGGGAUUCGACUUAACUCCCAACCCCUGUGACAUACCUUAAUGUUGCCUCGGCGGAUCAGCCCGCGCCCCGUAAAACGGGACGGCCCGCCAGAGGACCCAAACUCUAAUGUUUCUUAUUGUAACUUCUGAGUAAAACAAACAAAUAAAUCAAAACUUUCAACAACGGAUCUCUUGGUUCUGGCAUCGAUGAAGAACGCAGCAAAAUGCGAUAAGUAAUGUGAAUUGCAGAAUUCAGUGAAUCAUCGAAUCUUUGAACGCACAUUGCGCCCGCUGGUAUUCCGGCGGGCAUGCCUGUUCGAGCGUCAUUUCAACCCUCAAGCCCCCGGGUUUGGUGUUGGGGAUCGGCUCUGCCUUCUGGCGGUGCCGCCCCCGAAAUACAUUGGCGGUCUCGCUGCAGCCUCCAUUGCGUAGUAGCUAACACCUCGCAACUGGAACGCGGCGCGGCCAUGCCGUAAAACCCCAACUUCUGAAUGUUGACCUCGGAUCAGGUAGGAAUACCCGCUGAACUUAAGCAUAUCAAUAAAGCGGAGGAA
rnacentral:rRNA from 1 species